rnacentral:rRNA from 1 species
UAGGGAAUCUUCCACAAUGGACGCAAGUCUGAUGGAGCAACGCCGCGUGAGUGAAGAAGGUUUUCGGACCGUAAAGCUCUGUUGUUGGUGAAGAAGGAUAGAGGUAGUAACUGGCCUUUAUUUGACGGUAAUCAACCAGAAAGUCACGGCUAACUACGUGCCAGCAGCCGCGGUAAUACGUAGGUGGCAAGCGUUGUCCGGAUUUAUUGGGCGUAAAGCGAGCGCAGGCGGAAGAAUAAGUCUGAUGUGAAAGCCCUCGGCUUAACCGAGGAAUUGCAUCGGAAACUGUUUUCUUGAGUGCAGAAGAGGAGAGUAGAACUCCAUGUGUAGCGGUGGAAUGCGUAGAUAUAUGGAAGAAUACCAGUGGCGAAGGCGGCUCUCGUGGUCUGCAACUGACGCUGAAGGCUGCGAAA